ensembl:lncRNA
CAUGAUGAAAAUUCAAAUCUGUGUCUGAUUAUUUUUCUAUCAGCUGUAGCUUCAAAGUAGCUUCUUCUGCUCUUUGUUUGUAUAAAAAUGAUGAACACACAAAUGAAAUGAUCAGAGGACACAGAUGUGAACCUGCAGCAGACCUACACCUGCCUGUUUCUACAUAUUCAUGUUUCCUUAUGUUGCUUUCAUUGUGUUUCCUUUUUACCUGUUUGAAAAUGUUUGAAGUAUAUUAUGAUCUUACAACUAAAUCAAAUAUUUGUAAGUGAUGACCAUCUGUGGCUGAUAUUGUUUUUGUGUAUUUCCUGUGAAUUCAAACUGUCGUCAAUAAAACAGGACAAUUAAAAAUGAAUUCUGUGAAUAUUGUUUAUUGAUUUUGUUUCAAAAAACAAAGAAAAGCUGAAAAUAUUCAUCAAGUUAUACAAGAAGUAAGCAACAGAUAAGAGUGUGUGUUAGUAAAUUCACAGCAACCUGAAUGUGUUUGUGGGAACAUGAAUGUUUUUGAGUGUUUCUGCAUCAUGUGACCCAGAUUUUUGGAUCUGCUGUCAGAUUGAAAUGAAGACGAUGAAACCACACAGCAGCUUCAGCUGAGCUGUCAAUCAGCAGCAGCAGUCUUAUCUGUGGGCCACAGGGGCUGAUGGGAGCUUUGAGGAGCUGUUAGAAACCACGUGGCCCUCGUCUGAUCUCACAGCUCGUCCUUGUUUGGCCUCAGCUGCAUCAGAGCGCCACUUCUCCCCAGGUUCACCAGAGGAAACACCACUGCACAAAAUGCUUUUCCUCCCAGCUGCUGCUCUGUGCUGUCUGUGUUCAGCACUGGUUACCAUGGCAGCAGAACAGCUGAUUCAGGACGAUUUAACAUUGACCAGGAGAGUUGGAGAAAGUGUCUCCUUCAGCUGUGGAGGCACUCAGCAGUGCGAUCGUGACUGGAUAUACUGGUACCAGAAAAAAGAAACAGAAACAUUCAAAGUUAUUUUUGAUAUUAAUCGGAGUAACGGUAACAUAGAUAGAAGUUACUCAUCUCAUCCUCAGAUCACUGACUUCUCUUCUGUAAAUACAAAUAAAGGCUGGGAGUUAGAAAUUAAGCAAGUUAAACUCGAUCAUUCAGCCACCUACUACUGCUCCUGUGUUAAAGUUGAUACCCACAGUGAGAAAUGAUCCCUGCAGCCUGAACAAAAACCAACAGAUGAACAGAUGUCAAACAGUGUUUGUGACAGGAAGAGAGCAGUAAACCACAGCCCAGCUUCACAGAUUUCACCUCCAUCUCAGAGUCACAAACAUACUGAGCUCAGGGAGAUUUUUAUUUACUGCUGUCAGAAAUUCUAUUCUAUUUAUUUCUCUUUUGAACAGAUUUUUCAUCAUGUUUUAAGAUAGAAACAAGAGGAACAGAUGACAUUGUGGGAUUAAAGAGUUUAUUUUUUAUAUCAAAUUUCCAAAUCUAAACAAACGUAUCCUCAGUCCCACCACAGUAUUCAUUCAAAGUUAAAGAAAAACAGAUUGUGUCAAACUGACUCAAAGCCCAGAUAGAAAGAACACAUUGAAACCAUGUUAAAGUAAUAUCAGGCAAUUCCGUUGAAUCAACAUUGAAAUCUGACAUUGAUUUUCCAUCACUUUUGCACCCUCAGUUAAUAAUGAAACAAUGUUGAAAUCUUUUAUUUUCCAUAACAUAUGCACUCGUGGUUAAUGCUGAAAUAGCAAUUACAACAUGAUCAAAAAUAAACAGGACUUAAUAGGUGUUUCAAUCAAUACUAAAAGACUCCAAAUUGAUCAAUCAAUACUUAAACCUGUGAAAAAGACAAUUGUGUAUUAUCUAAAAACAGAAUUACCAUUAUAUGUUAGACAUUAUCUUUCAAUUUACCAUGUCCAUAAUAAUAUCCCUAUAAUAUUAUCAUCAGGCAUUAUUUAAUUAACAAAAUGACAAUAGACAUCUUUGCAUUAAGAAAAAAAAAAUCCUAUAAAAAUCCUAUAAAGAUGGGCAUCCUGCACUACCCUUCCAAUGGGGAGCAUAGCAGAGCCAUUUCUGCAUUCCUUAGGCGAAGGCAAACUCAGAAACUGCAUUUAACCCCACCUGCUGAGUCCGGCCAUCUAGAACAAAACCAAACACAAAAAAAGUUAAACAGAAAAAAAAGGAGAAGCUCAAUUAGAGCUUACAUUGUCAAAAGUCUUUAGCAGGGAGCAGGGCCGUGCAGAGAGGUUUAAAUGGGCAGUUGCUCAAAGUUAAAAAAGGGGCAGAUAGAACAGGCUGAAUAACAACAACUCACAUUCAUGACGAAUCUAAUAUGGAAUUGCAUCAUACUAUAUGACUGUCAUCAGGUGGGGACAAUGCAAAGCAAACGUAGCCUAUGUUUUACCUGAUGGGUACAAUGUUGCUGUUGAGGGUUUACUGCUGUUCCUGCUGCUGAUAGUGCUGGAGGGCAGGGCUGUGUUGUUUUGAGACUGUAGACAUUAAAAAGUCCAUAGGUAGCUGAUUAAACAAGUGCUUUGAGAUAAAAAUAAAAUGUAAAAAGAUUGGUGACAGCGCUUGGAACCAUAAGGCAACAGAUUUAAAAAACUGGGAAAUAAACUGAAACCAGGAUAUUAGUAGUACAAAAGACAGGGGUCAUGGUAGGGUGAGAAUGUAUUAAAAAAUUCUAUACAGACAGUGUGUGUGGGUCCUGUUAGCACCUUUUAAACAUCACAGCAUCAACUUUACAUGGGAGGGAUUAGAUUGUAGAACUGUAAAAUCUUUUUCUUUCUUUCUUUCUUUCAAAUAUUAAAAUACAACAGUAAAAAAAUAAGCCAAUAGGAGGAUGAAUCAAACAUUUUAUUAAUCAGAAAACAAAAACAACACAGGGUAUGUUUUGGAAAGAGCAGGAAGGAAUAAGAUGC